rnacentral:rRNA from 1 species
CGUGUAGGCGGGUUUGUAAGUUGGAUGUGAAAUACCAUGGCUCAACCAUGGGGCUGCAUUCAAAACUACAAGUCUUGAGUGCCGGAGAGGAAAGCGGAAUUCCUAGUGUAGCGGUGAAAUGCGUAGAUAUUAGGAGGAACACCAGUGGCGAAGGCGGCUUUCUGGACGGUAACUGACGCUGAGGCGCGAAAGCGUGGGGAGCAAACA